rnacentral:rRNA from 1 species
GGCGAACGCUGGCGGCGUGCUUAACACAUGCAAGUCGAACGGUGAAGCGCCUUCCUUUUUGGUGGGUGUGGAUGAGUGGCGAACGGGUGAGUAACACGUGAGUAACCUGCCCCCUUCUUCUGGAUAACCGCAUGAAAGUGUGGCUAAUACGGGAUAUUCUGGGUCUGUCGCAUGAUGGGUCUGGGAAAGAUAUUGUUUCGGUGGGGGAUGGGCUCGCGGCCUAUCAGCUUGUUGGUGGGGUGAUGGCCUACCAAGGCGGUGACGGGUAGCCGGCCUGAGAGGGUGGACGGUCACACUGGGACUGAGACACGGCCCAGACUCCUACGGGAGGCAGCAGUGGGGAAUAUUGCACAAUGGGUGCAAGCCUGAUGCAGCGACGCCGCGUGAGGGAUGGAGGCCUUCGGGUUGUGAACCUCUUUCGCCAGUGAAGCAGGCCUGCCUCGUUUGUGGGUGGGUUGACGGUAGCUGGAUAAGAAGCGCCGGCUAACUACGUG